rnacentral:piRNA from 1 species
UGUAGAGGUGAAUGGUGAAAAACCUGC